CUGUCACGCGGCGACGGCGGCGGCGGCGUCGCCGGCGCGGCGACAUGCUCCACCUCCGCAACCACCUCCUCCCGCUGCUCCACGCCGCCACCUCCACCGCCUCCUCCUCCCCUCUGCACCUCACCCACCGCCUUCUCUCCACCGCCGCAAGAUCCCCCUUCUCCGUCGAGCACUACCUCAUCGCCACCUGCGGCCUCACCGCCGCUCAGGCGCGCAGGGCGUCCCCGAAGCUCUCCCGUCUCAACUCCUCCUCCAACCCCGACGCCGUGCUCGCCCUCCUCUCCUCCUCCGCCGCCGGCCUCGACUCCCUCUCCCUCUCCCGCGCGGACCUCGCCGCCGUCGUCGCCGCCGAGCCGCGGCUGCUCCGCGCGAGGCCCGGCACCAUCGCCCGCCGCAUCGCCUCCCUCCGCGGCCGCGCCAACCUGUCUGCGCCCCAGAUCCGCAGCUUCCUCAUGUCCGGCGGCGCGGCGCACCUCGCCUCGUCCGACGUCUCCCCGAAGCUCGCGUUCUGGGUCCCCUUCCUCGGCUCCUUCGACAUGCUCCUCAAGAUCCUCAGGAGGUGCAACGCGAUCCUCGCCACCGACGUCGACAGGGUGGUCAGGCCCAACGUCGCGCUGCUCGGGGAGUGCGGGCUAGGUGUUUGUGAUAUUGUCCAGAUGACCCAGACCGCCGCGUGGCUGCUCACGUUCAACCCAGAGCGACUGAAGAUUGUCGUGCGGCGCGCCGAGGAGCUCGGCGUGCCCACUUCAUCGUGGGCGUUCAAGGACGCCGUGUGCACCGUCGCCCGUAACAACGAGGGCACCAUCGCCGCGAGGAUGGAGUUCUUGCGCGGCACUCUUGGUUGCUCCAUGGACAAGCUACGCUCUGCGAUCAGCAGGAAGCCGAGCAUUCUAGGAUUCUCGGAGAAGACGCUUCGCGGCAAAAUAGAGUUCUUGCUCACUAAGGUCCAAUUGGAGACUGAAUACAUCUUGCAGAGGCCUGUGAUGCUCACGCUCAGCCUGGACAAGCGGUUGGCGCCGCGGCAUUAUGUUCUACAAGCCCUUGUGGAGAAGGGGUUGAUAAAAAAUGAUGUUGAUUACUACAGUUGUGUUUGUUUUGGCAAUGAACAUUUCGUAGCGAGGUACAUUGAUCGCCACGAGGAUGCUCUUCCUGGUCUCACGGAUGCCUAUGCCGCUGUUCAUGCUGGCAAAUCGCCUGCACAAAGUCUAACUCAACAUCUUAAGACAGACAGAUAUCGGAGUGAUGGAGAGGCAACAUACGUGUUGAGGAAUCAACCGGUCGGAAUGGAAGACAAGUGAAAAUAGGCACGUAUAUAACAUCGGUUGGAACAGAAGGCAUGAAUGAUCAAACAUAUGUCCAAAAAUCAUCAACGUCAAACAUUACAAGCUGAAGGGGGUAUAGUAAGGUAAUUAACCAACAAUGCCAAAAGUCUAUUUCAACUACUUAUCGUUGGUUUGGACCUUCGAGAUGGGCCGGUUCUAUCAACUAGGAGACAAGGGGGCCCAUCCAGAGACCAACAACAGCUUGGCCCAGCCCAUGCACAUCUAGAGUUGCAUCCAGCAUCUGAUUUCUGCUACAAGGAAGAAUCGUUCACUAGAACCCCAGUGGCAGCAUGAAGCGUUCACAGCAUGCACAAUGCAUCAACAAACCAAGGGGAACUAAAAAUUUUAAUGGUGCUAAAAUUUUGGGAAUCUCCUGCUUCUGUACUCUCUUAACUUUUAGCUGAACUUUGGUAGUACCCAACUUUUAACCAUUCCAAUUUUGGUAAUGCUAGAAUUAAGGUUAGGCUUCAUAUGCUUCGUAUGGCUAAUGAGCCAAACAUAUAGCAUCAAUGCUUUCACUUGGCAAAAGUUGUUGAGCCUUUCCAAAUGCAUGAAGCAAUCCAAAUUGUUUUUAUUACUAUAUGACAAAUGCAUCAGGUGACAUUUUUAUGGGGUGAUGUUGUCC
rnacentral:lncRNA from 2 species